rnacentral:rRNA from 1 species
CCUACGGGAGGCAGCAGUGGGGAAUAUUGCACAAUGGGGGAAACCCUGAUGCAGCGACGCCGCGUGAGUGAAGAAGUAUUUCGGUACGUAAAGCUCUAUCAGCAGGGAAGAAAAUGACGGUACCUGACUAAGCAGCCCCGGCUAACUACGUGCCAGCAGCCGCGGUAAUACGUAGGGGGCAAGCGUUAUCCGGAUUUACUGGGUGUAAAGGGAGCGUAGACGGCAGCGCAAGUCUGGAGUGAAAUCCCAUGGCUUAACCAUGGAACUGCUUUGGAAACUGUGCAGCUAGAGUGCAGGAGAGGUAAGCGGAAUUCCUAGGGUAGCGGUGAAAUGCGUAGAUAUUAGGAGGAACACCAGUGGCGAAGGCGGCUUACUGGACUGUAACUGACGUUGAGGCUCGAAAGCGUGGGGAGCAAACAGGAUUAGAUACCCGGGUAGUC